UACGGAGGGUGCAAGCGUUGUUCGGAAUUACUGGGCGUAAAGCGCGUGCAGGCGGAUUGAGUAGUCGGGUGUGAAAUCCCUCGGCUUAACUGAGGAAGUGCGCCCGAAACCAUCAAUCUGGAGGUCCGGAGGGGACCGGGGAAUUCCCAGUGUAGAGGUGAAAUUCGUAGAUAUUGGGAGGAACACCGGUGACGAAGGUGCCGGUCUGGACGGAUUCUGACGCUGAUACGCGAAAGCAUGGGGAGCAAACAGG
rnacentral:rRNA from 1 species